rnacentral:sRNA from 1 species
UAACCGUUAGGUGAGGUAACCACAGGGAUAAUCAAUUUUACAUUGAUAUUACACUGCUUUCAGUUAAUGGGUUGCUGCCGCGAAAAUAUGGAGACAUAUUCAGAUGGUCAGCAGGUCGGGUCGAACAACAAGGUCCAACCUAAUGCAACUUCAACGCCCUGCGAUGCCAAAGCUCAUACGGUGGCA